ensembl:lncRNA
CCCCAUCCCACACUUACUGAAUCAGAAUAGGGGCCGGAAGGGGAGCCACAAUCUGCAUUUAAGAACCUCCCUUGUGGUUUCGUAGUCUGCUGGGUUUGGGAACCGCCAGCACAUACGCCAGCAGAAAAGCUCAAAAUUCUCAGCUUCACAGCUUCUGUACAUAAAAGAAGAAACUGGCUUACUUGCCGUUUUGUCACGGAUUUGCGUUCUCCAGGCCUGCUUUCACCCUCACUGAGCAGCAGUGUUCAAGCCAGCCCACACGUAGGAACAAGCCAGCGGUCCACCAGUGAGGAGCGACCGAACGGAGUGUGGUCCAUCCGUCCAGGGAGCAGCUUUGGACAGUAGGAAGGAGAGAGCCUGGAUCAUGGAAACGCGAAGCUACCUGAAAGAAGCCCCUCACAGAAGACCACAUGCUGCGUGAUGGCCUGCGCUUGACGAGUCCCGAGGAAGUGAACCUACAGACAGAUUGCCGGUGGCUCUGGGCUGCAGUACAGGCGUGGGGGAUGGGGGGUGAUUGCCAAUGGUGAUGGG